GGCGUGAAGGGAGGGACGCGCGCGGCCACGCUCCCCGCAGGACGCGGCUCCGGACCCGGCGUCGGGGCUCCGCGGGACCCAGGUGUUCCCGAGGGGAAGAAACUGGCAGAAAGUGGACGCCUCCGCCCGCUGCCCCCCCCCCCCCCCCACACACACACAGGUAACGGCACCACAGCUGCCUUCCGCACACGCGGCUCCCGGCGCCAACGCCAACGCCAACGCCUCCGCGCCCUCCGGGACCCUCCGACCCCGGCUCAAGCUCCUCCCCGCCCGCGGGCCCCGGCGGGAGCGGCGGCGGCGGCGGCGGCGGGGAGCGGGGAGCGGGGAGCGGGCCGCGCUCGCUGCCAUUGGCUGUGCGGCCCGAGGGGCGGGGGGCCCCGCAGUCCCGCCGGCUCCGCGGCCCCGGCUCCCGCCCGCCCUCCCGCAGCCGGUGCGCUCGAGCCCUGCGCUCCCCGGACGGCCGCGCGGGGGCGGGGCGCCGAGGCGGGGGCGGGGGCGGGGGCGGGGCGCGGCGGGGCGCGGGCGGGGCGCGGGCGGGGAGCUCAGCGCAGCUCCAGUCCGGGCCGGGCCGGCGCGCCGCGGGAGGGGAGGUCGCCGCGCGCGGGCUCGCAGGUCAGUGCGAGGCUCCCGGCGCCGCCUCGAGCGGGGCGGGGCGUGGGGGCCGGGGCCGGGGCGGGGGCCGGGGCGCCGGGCCCUGGGGGCGGGCUCGCCCUCCGCGGGGAGCGCCCUGCCUCCUCUCCUGGGGCGGCCUCCGCUCCCUCCGAGCGCCCCCCCCGCGGCUCUCCGCGGCUCCCAGGGGUGUGGCUCCGUCCUGGGAGCCCCCUGAGUGCAUCCCCUCGGCGGCCAGCAGGCUCCGCGGGUCGGCGGUCGCGAUCCUCGGGAGGACCCGGCGGGGCUGCGCAGGGCCGCGGCCCCGGGACGACCCGCUCCUGUCCCGGACACAGCCGGGAGGAUCUGCCCUCGCGAGCGCUGCUGCAAGCAUUGAUUCCGCCGUCAAGUGGUCGUCUGUCCCCUCCGGGCACUCCCCGCGUGCACUGCCGGCCUUGCACCUUCGCGCGCCCGCAGAGCCUUUGCACCCGUCUUAGGUGCUUCAAAUCCGGGCAGAAUGCUCUGAAGAGAUUGACACAUGUUCAUGGUUCUCAUUAAAGAAGCUUCAUGUAAGUGACAAAGGACACCUGAUCCCCUGCUGCCUUUGUUGGAAAACGAAGAAGUUUUGUUGUGCUGAUUUAACUGCCUGCAAUCUUUGCUGAUGCGAUCAUAAAAAAAAAAAAUGCUGAUUCUGUCCUUUUUAACCCCUGUGUGAAACUGACUUUUAACAUACUUGUGCAUUCUUUGAUCCUCCAUAAAGAUGUCUGAACCUGACUCUUCAUCUGUAUUUUCGG
rnacentral:lncRNA from 1 species